rnacentral:rRNA from 1 species
CGCUCCCGUGAAUACGUUCCCGGGCCUUGUACACACCGCCCGUCAAGCGAUGGGAGCCAAGGGUACCCGAAGUUCUACGUAGGUAGACCGAAGGUAAAAUUGGUGACUGGCGCU